CUCUAACAUUCUGUUAAGAUAUGUCCUGAUCUCCUAAAGUCACAGAAUCCCAGAGACUCAAAGUAAAUUUUCUCUUCGGCAAAUCAGAAGGCUCUGCAUAAAUCUCACACUCCAAUUCCAAUCGACCUGACAUUCAGAAGAGACAAAAAGGGAAAAUCCUGGCCAGUUCUCCCCUACCUGAUCAACCAGUAGCAUAAUCAGAUUUGCAAGACCUCAAGAAAAGAAACCUGCAAAUGCCACUGGAGGUGUGUGUUUUGCCAAAGAAAAAAGAAUCAAAAACAAAACCUGCAGGAUGAGGACAAACAAACAAAGAGCAGGGGCUCAGACAUGAACCUUGUGAUGGAUGAGGAAAAGAUAUUCUUUUUCUCCCCUUACAGUUUCUGGCAGCCAACAUGGGGUGGCUGUGACACCCCACUAGUUCCAGAACCUGCAGAUGAGAUCCUGGGACAACCAAUAAAAAAACAA